AGAGAAGAAGAAGAGACGAGACGAGGGAAAUUUAUGAGGAGAAAAGACGUGAUUUUCGCGUUUCUUGGAGGAUUUAAAAACGAAAAUCUUGCCUGCAAUCAGAUGUACUGCCCGCAUUUUUACCCCGAGGAGGUGACUCGUUAUUACUUCGGACUGUUUCAGCCACACCCAUAAAGUGAUUGAGAUCUUCAGUGAAGCUCCUCCUACAACAAUCCACCAACAAAUGCUGGAGUCAAACACACAGAGAAAUCACUCCAUGUGUGACAACUGAAAUCUUCAUGACAUAAUGUUGAUGCUGGUGAAAGAGGAGCUUGAGAAGAUGACAGAUCCACAACCAUGCAGAAUAAAGAAUGAAGAUACUGUGAAACAAAUAGAUAUGAUUGAAGUGAAAGAGGAGAGUCAAGCUGAAGUGGAUGAGAAACAUCAGAUUGUAAAAAUAAACCAUAACUUUUCACCGAAAGGAACUCUGAAGACAGAAGACAUAAAGUGUGAAAAUCGUUUCAGAGGAGAUGAACGGCCUGCAGAU